rnacentral:tRNA from 1 species
CCUUCGAUUGCUCAGUUGGUAGAGCGGAGGACUGUAGAUCCUUAGGUCGGUGGUUCAACUCCGUGUCGAAGGA